rnacentral:rRNA from 1 species
AUUGAACGCUGGCGGCAGGCCUAACACAUGCAAGUCGAACGAGUGGCGGACGGGUGAGUAAUGUCUGGGAAACUGCCUGAUGGAGGGGGAUAACUACUGGAAACGGUAGCUAAUACCGCAUACCAUCGGAUGUGCCCAGAUGGGAUUAGCUAGUAGGUGGGGUAACGGCUCACCUAGGCGACGAUCCCUAGCUGGUCUGAGAGGGUGACCAGCCACACUGGGACGGAGACACGGUCCAGAAGCCUACGGGAGGCAGCAGUGGGGAAAAUUGCACAAUGGGCGCAAGCCUGAUACAGCCAUGCCGCGUGUAUGAAGAAGGCCUUCGGGUUGUAAAGUACUUUCAGCGGGAGAGCGUUACCCGCAGGAGAAGCACCGGCUAACUCCGUGCCAGCAGCCGCGGUAAUUC